UACUAUCCUUCUGACCCUAUGUAGCCAGGUCCAUCUACUAUCCUUCUGACCCUAUGUAGCCAGGUCCAUCUACUAUCCUUCUGACCCUAUGUAGCCAGGUCCCAUCUACUAUCCUUCUGACCCUAUGUAGCCAGGUCCCAUCUACUAUCCUUCUGACCCUAUGUAGCCAGGUCCAUCUACUAUCCUUCUGACCCUAUGUAGCCAGUUCCCAUCUACUAUCCUUCUGACCCUAUGUAGCCAGUUCCCAUCUACUAUCCUUCUGACCCUAUGUAGCCAGUUCCCAUCUACUAUCCUUCUGACCCUAUGUAGCCAGUUCCCAUCUACUAUCCUUCUGACCCUAUGUAGCCAGGUCCCAUCUACUAUCCUUCUGACCCUAUGUAGCCAGGUCCAUCUACUAUCCUUCUGUCCCUAUGUAGCCAGGUCCAUCUACUAUCCUUCUGACCCUAUGUAGCCAGGUCCAUCUACUAUCCUUCUGACCCUAUGUAGCCAGGUCCCAUCUACUAUCCUUCUGACCCUAUGUAGCCAGGUCCCAUCUACUAUCCUUCUGACCCUAUGUAGCCAGGUCCCAUCUACUAUCCUUCUGACCCUAUGUAGCCAGGUCCAUCUACUAUCCUUCUGACCCUAUGUAGCCAGGUCCAUCUACUAUCCUUCUGACCCUAUGUAGCCAGGUCCAUCUACUAUCCUUCUGACCCAGGUCCAUCUACUAUCCUUCUGACCCUAUGUAGCCAGGUCCAUCUACUAUCCUUCUGACCCUAUGUAGCCAGGUCCAUCUAUUAUCCUUCUGACCCUAUGCAGCCAGGUCCAUCUACUAUCCUUCUGACCCUAUGUAGCCAGGUCCAUCUACUAUCCUUCUGACCCUAUGUAGCCAGGUCCAUCUACUAUCCUUCUGACCCAGGUCCAUCUACUAUCCUUCUGACCCUAUGUAGCCAGGUCCCAUCUACUAUCCUUCUGACCCUAUGUAGCCAGGUCCAUCUACUAUCCUUCUGACCCUAUGUAGCCAGGUCCCAUCUACUAUCCUUCUGACCCUAUGUAGCCAGGUCCAUCUACUAUCCUUCUGACCCUAUGUAGCCAGGUCCAUCUACUAUCCUUCUGACCCUAUGUAGCCAGGUCCAUCUACUAUCCUUCUGACCCUAUGUAGCCAGGUCCCAUCUACUAUCCUUCUGACCCUAUGUAGCCUGGUCCCAUCUACUAUCCUCCUGACCCAGGUCCCAUCUACUAUCCUUCUGACCCUAUGUAGCCAGGUCCCAUCUACUAUCCUUCUGACCCUAUGUAGCCAGGUCCAUCUACUAUCCUUCUGACCCUAUGUAGCCAGGUCCCAUCUACUAUCCUUCUGACCCUAUGUAGCCAGGUCCAUCUACUAUCCUUCUGACCCUAUGUAGCCAGGUCCAUCUACUAUCCUUCUGACCCUAUGUAGCCAGGUCCCAUCUACUAUCCUUCUGACCCUAUGUAGCCAGGUCCAUCUACUAUCCAUCUGACCCUAUGUAGCCAGGUCCCAUCUACUAUCCUUCUGACCCUAUAUAGCCAGGUCCAAUCUACUAUCCUUCUGACCCUAUGUAGCCAGGUCCCAUCUACUAUCCUUCUGACCCAGGUCCCAUCUACUAUCCUUGUGAUCCUAUGUAGCCAGGUCCAUCUACUAUCCUUCUGACCCAGGUGCAUCUACUAUCCUUGUGACCCUAUGUAGCCAGGUCCCAUCUACUAUCCUUCUGACCCUAUGUAGCCAGGUCCAUCUACUAUCCUUCUGACCCUAUGUAGCCAGGUCCAUCUACUAUCCUUCUGACCCAGGUCCAUCUACUAUCCUUCUGACCCUAUGUAGCCAGGUCCAUCUACUAUCCUUCUGACCCUAUGUAGCCAGGUCCAUCUACUAUCCUUCUGACCCUAUGUAGCCAGUUCCCAUCUACUAUCCUUCUGACCCUAUGUAGCCAGGUCCAUCUACUAUCCUUCUGACCCUAUGUAGCCAGUUCCCAUCUACUAUCCUUCUGACCCUAUGUAGCCAGUUCCCAUCUACUAUCCUUCUGACCCUAUGUAGCCAGGUCCAUCUACUAUCCUUCUGACCCUAUGUAGCCAGGUCCCAUCUACUAUCCUUCUGACCCUAUGUAGCCUGGUCCCAUCUACUAUCCUCCUGACCCAGGUCCCAUCUACUAUCCUUCUGACCCUAUGUAGCCAGGUCCCAUCUACUAUCCUUCUGACCCUAUGUAGCCAGGUCCCAUCUACUAUCCUUCUGACCCUAUGUAGCCAGGUCCAUCUACUAUCCUUCUGACCCUAUGUAGCCAGGUCCAUCUACUAUCCUUCUGACCCAGGUCCAUCUACUAUCCUUCUGACCCUAUGUAGCCAGGUCCAUCUACUAUCCUUCUGACCCUAUGUAGCCAGGUCCAUCUACUAUCCUUCUGACCCUAUGUAGCCAGUUCCCAUCUACUAUCCUUCUGACCCUAUGUAGCCAGGUCCAUCUACUAUCCUUCUGACCCUAUGUAGCCAGUUCCCAUCUACUAUCCUUCUGACCCUAUGUAGCCAGUUCCCAUCUACUAUCCUUCUGACCCUAUGUAGCCAGGUCCCAUCUACUAUCCUUCUGACCCUAUGUAGCCAGGUCCCAUCUACUAUCCUUCUGACCCUAUGUAGCCAGGUCCCAUCUACUAUCCUUCUGACCCUAUGUAGCCAGGUCCAUCUACUAUCCUUCUGACCCUAUGUAGCCAGGUCCAUCUACUAUCCUUCUGACCCUAUGUAGCCAGGUCCAUCUACUAUCCUUCUGACCCUAUGUAGCCAGGUCCCAUCUACUAUCCUUCUGACCCUAUGUAGCCAGGUCCCAUCUACUAUCCUUCUGACCCUAUGUAGCCAGGUCCCAUCUACUAUCCUUCUGACCCUAUGUAGCCAGGUCCAUCUACUAUCCUUCUGACCCUAUGUAGCCAGGUCCCAUCUACUAUCCUUCUGACCCUAUGUAGCCAGGCCCAUCUACUAUCCUUCUGACCCCAUGUAGCCAGAUCCAUCUACUAUCCUUCUGACCCUAUGUAGCCAGGUCCCAUCUACUAUCCUUCUGACCCUAUGUAGCCAGGUCCCAUCUACUAUCCUUCUGACCCUAUGUAGCCAGGUCCAUCUACUAUCCUUCUGACCCUAUGUAGCCAGGUCCCAUCUACUAUCCUUCUGACCCUAUGUAGCCAGGUCCAUCUACUAUCCUUCUGACCCUAUGUAGCCAGGUCCAUCUACUAUCCUCCUGACCCUAUGUAGCCAGGUCCCAUCUACUAUCCUUCUGACCCAGGUCCAUCUACUAUCCUCCUGACCCUAUGUAGCCAGGUCCAUCUACUAUCCUUCUGACCCAGGUCCAUCUACUAUCCUUCUGACCCUAUGUAGCCAGGUCCCAUCUACUAUCCUUCUGACCCUAUGUAGCCAGGUCCAUCUACUAUCCUUCUGACCCUAUGUAGCCAGGUCCCAUCUACUAUCCUUCUGACCCUAUGUAGUCAGGUCCAUCUACGAUCCUUCUGACCCUAUGUAGCCAGGUCCCAUCUACUAUCCUUCUGACCCUAUGUAGCCAGGUCCCAUCUACUAUCCUUCUGACCCUAUGUAGCCAGGUCCCAUCUACUAUCCUUCUGACCCUAUGUAGCCAGGUCCAUCUACUAUCCUCCUGAUCCUAUGUAGCCAGGUCCAUCUACUAUCCUUCUGACCCAGGUCCAUCUACUAUCCUUCUGACCCUAUGUAGCCAAGUCCCAUCUACUAUCCUUCUGACCCUAUGUAGCCAGGUCCCAUCUACUAUCCUUCUGACCCUAUGUAGCCAGGUCCAUCUACUAUCCUUCUGACUCUAUGUAGCCAGGUCCCAUCUACUAUCCUUCUGACCCUAUGUAGCCAGGUCCAUCUACUAUCCUUCUGACCCUAUGUAGCCAGGUCCAUCUACUAUCCUUCUGACCCUAUGUAGCCAGGUCCCAUCUACUAUCCUUCUGACCCUAUGUAGCCAGGUCCCAUCUACUAUCCUUCUGACCCUAUGUAGCCAGGUCCAUCUACUAUCCUUCUGACCCUAUGUAGCCAGUUCCCAUCUACUAUCCUUCUGACCCUAUGUAGCCAGUUCCCAUCUACUAUCCUUCUGACCCUAUGUAGCCAGUUCCCAUCUACUAUCCUUCUGACCCUAUGUAGCCAGUUCCCAUCUACUAUCCUUCUGACCCUAUGUAGCCAGGUCCCAUCUACUAUCCUUCUGACCCUAUGUAGCCAGGUCCAUCUACUAUCCUUCUGUCCCUAUGUAGCCAGGUCCAUCUACUAUCCUUCUGACCCUAUGUAGCCAGGUCCAUCUACUAUCCUUCUGACCCUAUGUAGCCAGGUCCCAUCUACUAUCCUUCUGACCCUAUGUAGCCAGGUCCCAUCUACUAUCCUUCUGACCCUAUGUAGCCAGGUCCCAUCUACUAUCCUUCUGACCCUAUGUAGCCAGGUCCAUCUACUAUCCUUCUGACCCUAUGUAGCCAGGUCCAUCUACUAUCCUUCUGACCCUAUGUAGCCAGGUCCAUCUACUAUCCUUCUGACCCAGGUCCAUCUACUAUCCUUCUGACCCUAUGUAGCCAGGUCCAUCUACUAUCCUUCUGACCCUAUGUAGCCAGGUCCAUCUAUUAUCCUUCUGACCCUAUGCAGCCAGGUCCAUCUACUAUCCUUCUGACCCUAUGUAGCCAGGUCCAUCUACUAUCCUUCUGACCCUAUGUAGCCAGGUCCAUCUA